rnacentral:misc_RNA from 1 species
CGCACUUAUGACUGUAUUUUUAAAGUGAAUUAACUAGUCCUUCACUUUAAUCCGCACAUUAAAUUUCAACUCCUCACCUUUUAACUUUUUAGGGAUCUAAAAGUUGUUUUAUUUGAAAACUCAAGGACUAAAAUAUCGUUGAAAAUAAUGUCUUUGAGAUGAAAGUAUAUGAUAAUUUAGUGGAAGGACCAAAAUAUAAUGAAAUUAAAAAGUUAAGGACCAUAUAUUUCACUUUUAAAAACACAAGAGCAUAAAUGUGUAUUUUGUCUAACCUCAGGGGAAUUAUAGUAAUUUAUCCUAAACAAAUAAAUCAUGAUGGGCACAAUAGCACAUUUAAUAUAAGCACAAGAACCACCAAUUGCAUUUGGAGCAGGCCCUUUUUUUAUACCUAUAAUUUUAGCUAUUCAAUGGAAUUAAUAUUAUUUAAGGAUUGUAUUUUAAAAUUAGUCUACA